CGGCGGGGACCCGGGGGGGGGGUGGGGGUGGGGGGUCCGAGGUCUGCGGGGCACCGGGGUGAGGCUCCGAGCACGACGCAGUCCAGGGGAGGGUCCGGGCUCGGUGCAGCCCCCGGGACGGAUCGGUGCAGCCCGGGGCGGGGGGCGGGGGGGGGUCUGGGCUCGCUGCGGGCUCCGGAGCAGGGUCGCUGGAGGGCGGCUGUUGUCCGGGCUCAGCGCGGCUCUGGGGAGGCGGCUCCUCCGCCCUCCUUGGCCGAGAGCGAGUGGCCGCGUGGCCCCGGCUGCCCGCGCGGCCCUGGCCCAUCGUGGGCUCGGGGAGAGGGGCACAGUCAGACCCUAGCGCCAGCCUAAAUUACGGUGAGUGAACCUUGCGUCGCGAGGGGCUGUGUGGGGCCCGAAAAGAGCGCCCAGGCGGGCCGGUGAGAAGUACGCAGGAUACGCAGUCCUGCUGGUUAAAGGGACAAUUAUUUGUUUGUUGGCAAAAGCAUUUUACACCGUUUUCGUUUCCAGUGGGUCGGAGGAAGGCGGUUUAUUACCGAGGGGUAGGACGGGCCGUUGAUGCGUCGGCUGACUUGCCCACACCAGAUCAGCGUGUUCACCUCUGGAGAACUCAGGGCCCAGAGAAAAUCAGGAAAACCUCAAUCAUGAGAAAGACAUCACACCCAAAUUGAGAGACGUUCUAGCACACACCUGACUGGUGGUCUUCAUGAGUCUCAAGGUCAUGAAAGACCAAGAAAGACGGGAUUGGAGGAGAGUGAGGAGACACAACAGGACAGUUCAAUACAGUUGGCUCUCCUGGGUCAGCUUCGGGACCAGAGAACGGACGUUAAUGGGAAAACUGGUGGAUUCAGGGCAUCCUUACGGCAAAACACCUCUGAGAUCGCCCAGCCUGACGCCCUCCGUUAUCCUGACAAAUGCGAAAAAAGUAAGCUACCUAAAGUUACCUGACUUCCUAGCGCCUGGGCCCGUAUGGGAACGCCAACGCUGUUCUUUCGUUCUGCAAGUGUCCAAACAAUCACCCAAAGGAUUAGAAAAUUGUCGGAAUAAUUGUUUUAAAUGUUCGCCUAGUGAACAUUUGCUCUGCCUCCGGCAGGUUCCAGGUCCUGGGGUGACAACCGCCUGCUAGCAGCUCGGAGCCCGGGGGGACUCCACUUUGGGGCUGGAAGAGACCUGUUAUCCGGCGCCCGGGGCCUCUUCCCGAGCACGGCCAGCGCACAGACGGCAGUCAAGGGGAUUUUCCAUCCGAAGGGUUGCCCAAGAAAGCCGGCUUCUGUCCCCACAGUGUCAAGUGCAGAGUCAUGCCCAGCACACGCUGUCAUGGCCUAAUGCAGGGAACAGGCUGCUCCUUCUCUCCCCCUCCUCCCCCUCCGCCUUUGCACACGCACACGUUUCCCACGCGCCCUCACCGCCUCCCUUCCCAGGAUCUUCGUGACCCUCAGCAACGAGGCACUCUCCAACGACCGCUUUUGUUAGGACAGUGGUCACUGUGUGGCACGUAGCAUAUCAUCUGACAUAUACUCAACUUCUCAGCUAAAGAGCGUGAAAAAAAGGAGUAACUGACAAAUCCAGCUAGAAGAUCAGAGGUUGGGGCGCUUGGGUGGCUCAGUCGGUCGAAUGUCUGACUUGGGCUCAGGUCACGAUCUCACGGUUCGUGGGUUCGAGCCCCGCGUCGGGCUCUGUGCGACAGCUCAGAGCCUGGAACCUGCCUCAGAUUCUGUGUCUUCCUCUCUCUCUGCCCCUCCUCUACUCGUGCUCUGUCUCUCUAUCAACAAUAAAUAAGCAUUAAAAAAAAAAGAUUACAGGUUUUUUAGCCAUAAAAAGCUAAAAUUAAAAGAAGGAGAGAAUUCACAGUAGCUAAAACACGGAAGCAACGCCAGCACCCCUCAGCUGAGGAAUGGGUCACCGAAACGUGGUCCAUACAUACACCAGAAUACUACUCAGCCUUAAAAAGGAAGGACGUUCUGACACCUGCCACAACGUGGAUGAACCUUCAGGACACGAGGCUCAGUGAGCUAAGCAAGUCACGAGAAGACAAAUACUGUUUAACCCCAUCUACACAAAGUGGUCACAAUAGUCAAACCCAUAAAGACAGAAAGUAGGGUGGUGGCUACCACGAUCCGGGGUGGGGGGGUGCAGAGUCCUGGGGGUGGAUCCUGGUGACGUCCCACAACAGUGCGACUAUUUAAUACUGUUGAUGUGCACGCUUAGAAAUGGUUAAGCCCGUACCUUUUACGUUACGUGUAUUUUAACAGAAUAAAAAAAAAAAAACAAAAAAA